AUUUUUUAUGCUUUAUAUUGUCUUAUACAAGUUUCUUAGCGCUGGGCAAAUUGAUCGGAGAAUAUAAAAAAGGGAACUACUUGAUUAUGGCGUUUUGAUACAAACUAGAUCCUUGUGCAAAUUUCAAGUUCUAUUAGAAAAUUUUCGAAUGGCAUCUUGUAGGGACGCACUGUUUAUAGUUUCGAAUUUUAAAUGUUUAAAACAAUAGAAGGAGGUCAAUAAAUCAAUAAAUAUUUAAAUAAAUAAAUAAUUAAUAAUAAAAAAUAUAAUGAAUUAAUAAAGAAAUAUUGCAUCUUAAAUAAAAAAAAUUAUAAUUGUUACGUUUUUUUUUUUGUUAUAUGGAUAUUCUUGGAGAAGCAGUGAAAUUUUAUUAGGAUCUUCGUCGAAAACAGCGAUCGAUAAAUCAGAACAUGUCGAUCCAUGGAACGAUAAAUAAUCUAGAGAUGUUGGCUGACGGACAACGAGAGAAAGGUUCAGGACAAACAAUGCAGAUUUGGUUUAUAGAAGAUGAUAACUAGAGAAGCUCAAUAUUGCUUUCGCUUCCUUCUCUCUUCUUUUUUCCCUUGUUCAUAUUAUUAUAGCUUUGCAAAUCAAUUUCAGCUUAGUAUUUCGAUCUGAUAGAGCGACAAUUAUAUAGUACCGCGAAAAACUUGCAUACAAAGCUAUACAAAAAAUAUUGAGAUAAAACUGGCAGUACAUACCAAUGCGACUCAAAAUUCUUUAUCUUUUGUUUCAAAAAAAGAAAAAAAUUCUGCUUUUCCAAGAUUCCUACCCUGGAGUCCUUUCUCUAAAGCACUUAACAAAAAGCAUAUAAGUUACCGCCUCAAACAAGAUUGUGAUUAGACAUCAGCACAUACAAUUUCUAGAUUUACUCUAUUCCCAAUAAUAAAACAGAGUGACAUGUAAAAAAAAUUCAAUUUUUUAACAAUUGUCUAUUUGAAGUAAUGUGCGACGAAGCUCCUGUGUACGAGGGUUACCUUUUCAAUUUACACCAGGUUUGCGCAACUCGGCAAAAUUUAAAAUUCCGAAAACCAUCGAAUCCGAGCGCAAAAUGCAUUAGAGGAACUUCUUUAAAAAUUUCUCAUUCUCAGUGUUUCUAAGGUAUGUGGUAUGUGUAAAUCUUUUUGUGCAAGCUCAUUAUGAACGUAACGCUUUUCUUUCAAGUUCUUUUUAAGUUGCUUCAAGUUGGAAAAAGAAAUGAUUAUCGGAUUUUCUGAUAAGCGUUCGAUCGUCAUGACACUUUCCCCGUGAUUUAUUGCUCUAGACUUGAAUCUCCUAAGUUGAUUUUCAUAUUUGUUCCCAAAGUGGUGGGCUCAUUAUCAAAUACUUUUUAAAAUCAAUAUAAAAUAUUUUAAUUAUUCGUCAAAAUUGAAUGU